GAUGAACGCUAGCGGGAGGCCUAACACAUGCAAGCCGAGCGGUAUUGUUUCUUCGGAAAUGAGAGAGCGGCGUACGGGUGCGUAACACGUGUGCAACCUGCCCUUAUCUGGGGGAUAGCCUUUCGAAAGGAAGAUUAAUACUCCAUAAUAUAUUGAACGGCAUCGUUUAAUAUUGAAAGCUCCGGCGGAUAGAGAUGGGCACGCGCAAGAUUAGCUAGUUGGUGAGGUAACGGCUCACCAAGGCGAUGAUCUUUAGGGGGCCUGAGAGGGUGAUCCCCCACACUGGUACUGAGACACGGACCAGACUCCUACGGGAGGCAGCAGUGAGGAAUAUUGGUCAAUGGGUGCAAGCCUGAACCAGCCAUCCCGCGUGAAGGACGACUGCCCUAUGGGUUGUAAACUUCUUUUGUAUAGGGAUAAACCUACCCUCGUGAGGGUAGCUGAAGGUACUAUACGAAUAAGCACCGGCUAACUCCGUG
rnacentral:rRNA from 1 species